UAGGGAAUCUUCGGCAAUGGACGAAAGUCUGACCGAGCAACGCCGCGUGAGUGAAGAAGGUUUUCGGAUCGUAAAACUCUGUUGUUAGAGAAGAACAAGGACGUUAGUAACUGAACGUCCCCUGACGGUAUCUAACCAGAAAGCCACGGCUAACUACGUGCCAGCAGCCGCGGUAAUACGUAGGUGGCAAGCGUUGUCCGGAUUUAUUGGGCGUAAAGCGAGCGCAGGCGGUUUCUUAAGUCUGAUGUGAAAGCCCCCGGCUCAACCGGGGGGGGUCAUUGGAAACUGGGAGACUUGAGUGCAGAAGAGGGGAGUGGAAUUCAAUGUGUAGCGGUGAAAUGCGUAGAUAUAUGGAGGAACACCAGUAGCGAAGGCGGCGCGCUGGUCUGUGACUGACGCUGAGGCUCGAAAGCGUGGGGAGCAAACAGG
rnacentral:rRNA from 1 species